UUCCAGUCCAGGAUUCAUGUCUAUGCUGGG
rnacentral:piRNA from 1 species